rnacentral:rRNA from 1 species
GGCUACGAGGACGAACGCUGGCGGUGUGCUUCACACAUGCAAGUCGAACGAGGUAGCAAUACCUAGUGGCGGACGGGUGAGUAACGCGUGGGAAUCUGCCUUUAGAUGGGGGAUAACGGGUCGAAAGACUCGCUAAUACCGCAUAUGACGAAAGUUGAAAGGAGUAAUCCGUCUAAAGAUGAGCCCGCGUCCGAUUAGCUAGUUGGUAGAGUAAAAGCCUACCAAGGCGACGAUCGGUAGCUGGUCUGAGAGGAUGAUCAGCCACAAUGGGACUGAGACACGGCCCAUACUCCUACGGGAGGCAGCAGUGGGAAUUUUACGCAAUGGGCGAAAGCCUGACGUAGCGACACCGCGUGAGCGAAGAAGCCCCUUGGGGUGUAAAGCUCUGUCAGCUGGAACGAAAAAAAUGACGGUACCAGCAGAGGAAGCAUCGGCUAACUACGUG